AACGAACGCUGGCGGCAGGCCUAACACAUGCAAGUCGAGCGAGAUCUUCGGAUCUAGCGGCGGACGGGUGAGUAACGCGUGGGAACGUACCCUUUGCUACGGAAUAGUCCCGGGAAACUGGGUUUAAUACCGUAUGUGCCCUUCGGGGGAAAGAUUUUUCGGCAAAGGAUCGGCCCGCGUUGGAUUAGGUAGUUGGUGGGGUAAUGGCCUACCAAGCCGACGAUCCAUAGCUGGUUUGAGAGGAUGAUCAGCCACACUGGGACUGAGACACGGCCCAGACUCCUACGGGAGGCAGCAGUGGGGAAUCUUAGACAAUGGGGGCAACCCUGAUCUAGCCAUGCCGCGUGAGUGAUGAAGGCCCUAGGGUUGUAAAGCUCU
rnacentral:rRNA from 1 species